UAAAGCUACAAAGAGCUAAUGGGGAAUGCCUUGGUACUGACAGCCGACGAAGGACGUGUAAAGCUGCGAUAAGCCACGGGGAACUGCUAAAAGGUCUUGAUCCGUGGAAAUCCGAAUGGGGAAACCCUCCAGAGUUAAAACUUUGGAACCCGUAACUGAAUACAUAGGUUGCGCGGAGGAAAGCCUGUGAACUGAAACAUCUUAGUAACAGGACGAAGAGAAAAUAACCCAAUGAUUCCGAGAGUAGCGGCGAGCGAAAUUGGAAGAGCCUAAAUUGUGUGUACGUGAUAGCCUGCAAGCGUUGUGCACAUGAGGUUGUGGGACUUGCAUCAUAUUUUGCAGAAUAUGGAUUGAGUUACAAAAUUAUUUAUUAGUUAAAGUCAACUGGGAAGUUGCGCCAUAGAGAGUGAUAGCCUCGUAAACGACAAUAAAUAAUCUCAAGUAAGUAUCCCGAGUAAGGCGGGGCACGUGAAACCCUGUCUGAAUCCACCGGGACCAUCCGGUAAGGCUAAAUACUAGUCAGUGACCGAUAGUGAACGAGUACAGUGAUGGAAAGGCGAAAAGAACAGUGAGAAGCUGAGUGAAAUAGACCCUGAAACCGUUAGCUUACAACCAGUCAGAGCACAAUUAAUUGUGUGAUGGCGUGCCUGUUGAAGAAUGAGCCGGCGAGUUAUUUUUUGUUGCGAGGUUAAGGAGAUCAUAUCCGGAGCCACAGGGAAACCGAGUCUGAAUAGGGCGUUAAGUAACAGGAAAUAGACCCGAACCUUGGUGAUCUAACCUUGACCAGGAUGAAGCGUGGGUAACACUACGUGGAGGUCCGAACCAACCGAUGUUGAAAAAUCGGUGGAUGAGUUGAGGUUAGGGGUGAAAUGCCAAUCGAACCAAGAGCUAGCUGGUUCUCCCCGAAAUGCGUUUAGGCACAGCGUUGGAUUUAUCUUGCAGGAGGUAGAGCACUGGUUUUGUGCGGGCGUCGAAAUGAUGUACCAAACAAUGUCAAACUCCGAAUACCUGUAAUGUCAUUAUCCAGCAGUGAGGCUAUGAGUGAUAAGAUCCAUGGCCAAGAGGGAAACAGCCCAGAACGCCAGUUAAGGUCCCUAAUAUAUGCUAAGUGGUUAAGGAGGUAGAGUUACUGAGACAACCAGGAGGUUGGCUUAGAAGCAGCCAUCCCUUGAAAGAGUGCGUAAUAGCUCACUGGUCAAGUGACUCCGCGCCGAAAAUACACCGGGACUAAAGCAUAUAACCGAAGCUGCGUCAUAUAGUUUACUAUAUGGGUAGGGGAGCGUACUGUAGUAAGACGAAGCUAGAGUGAAAACACUAGUGGAUGAGGCAGUAGUGAGAAUGUCGGCAUAAGUAGCGAAAACAUUGGUGAGAAUCCAAUGCACCGAAAACCUAAGGUUUCCCACGGCAGGCUCGUCCGCGUGGGGUUAGUCGGAUCCUAAGCUCAGGCCAAACGGCGUAGGCGAUGGACAAUAGGUUGAUAUUCCUAUACUAUCUGAUAAUCGUUAUCAGAAGCGGAGGGACGCAAGAGGAUAAGCACGCAGUCGACUGGAAGAGACUGUAUAAGCGUGUAGCUAGGUUUGACAGGAAAAUCCGUCAAAUCGUUAAUGUGAGGCGUGAUGUGGAGAGUCUACGGACUCGAAGGUGUUGACUCCAAAUUGCCAAGAAAAUCUUCGCUCUCGAGAUUAUUGGGUAUCCGUACCGUAAACCGCCACAGGUAGGUUGGUAGAAAAUACUAAGGUGCGCGAGACAACUCUCGCUAAGGAACUCGGCAAAAUCACCUCGUAACUUCGGGAGAAGAGGUACCCUGGUAGCGUGAAGCGAUUUACUCGUGAAGCGUGAUAGGGUCGCAGUGAAUAGGCCCAAGCGACUGUUUACCAAAAACACAGGUCUCUGCUAAGUCGAUCAAGACGAUGUAUAGGGGCUGACGCCUGCCCGGUGUCGGAAGGUUACGCGGAAAUGUUAGAAGCAAUUCAAAGCAUCGAAGCUAAGCCCCGAUGAACGGCGGCCGUAACUAUAACGGUCCUAAGGUAGCGAAAUUCCUUGUCAGGUA
rnacentral:rRNA from 1 species